rnacentral:rRNA from 1 species
UACGGAGGGGACUAGCGUUGUUCGGAAUUACUGGGCGUAAAGCGCACGUAGGCGGAUUUGUAAGUCAGGGGUGAAAUCCCGGGGCUCAACCUCGGAACUGCCUUUGAUACUGCAAAUCUCGAGUCCGGAAGAGGUGAGUGGAAUUCCUAGUGUAGAGGUGAAAUUCGUAGAUAUUAGGAAGAACACCAGUGGCGAAGGCGGCUUCCUGGCCUGUUCUUGACGCUGAGG